AGCAUAUAUUCUCUUAAGCCCAUGUGAACCUUCUCAAGUGAAUGGAGACGCACUUGAAACACCUGUUCUUGCCACAUCUGGACAUUAAUUCCGAGCCAAACAUGGAUCAAAUCAUCGAAAUUGGUCUUCCUCAAUCUUCCUCCCUCCAGCUACGCUUCAAGCCCAUCUAGUGAAGGAGAAAGGAGGUGGCCGUCCAAAACAGAUCGCAGAAGGCGAAAUGGUUAUAUGCGACAGGGAUCUCGCCGGUCGGGCCUUCUCGCCCCUUGCCCCGCCCGCUUUGCCGGCUCCUGUCCUUCCUUCGGUUACUGCUCUCCGUCCAUUGUGCCAAGGCGGAAGCCCGCAGCAGCCCCCGUCGCACAACAAAACCGUCUCAGCGCCUUCCUCCGCCCACUCUCGGUCACGCCGGCCUCUCUCCAUCCGGCACAUUCUGUUUACCUCACGAGGUGCCGGCGCCAUGACACGAGGGGCAGAGGAAGACCAGCGCCUCUCUCUUUUCCCCCCCCUCCCCCCAGCGCGUCAUCAUCAUCAUUGCAAAGGAACACAAAUAGCUCCUGGUGCGAAAACUUAGGGAAAACGUGAAGACGCUUCCCUCCCUCCUCCCCCCCCCCCAAAAAAAACGAUUUUUUUUUAACGCGUAGUUGCAAAGUUUAGGUUCUAAGCUAAAGCAAUUUUGCAUAGUAAAUUUAUCCUACUUUUUUGUUGUUUUUGGCCUACAAAAACAACAAACAGAGAGAGCCUGUAUGCUCCUAGUAGAGCCUGCCUCUAUUCUUUCAUUUAGUCUGAGGUAGAUUAAGCAGAGGAAGAACCAACGGCUCCACAGCAGAAAUGUUAACACGAGUGACAGAGGGUUUAAGGUCUCCCUUUCCAAUCCUAUUUGCCAUGUUGAUUCUCCAGAAUUGCAACUGAAGCAAAGAUAACUUGAAGAUGUGCGGGGUUGUUGUUUUUUCCUGACCGCAGGUUUCUAGUGAGAACAGUACAAUGUUUCCUUUAGAUUUUAUUGAAGAAGGCCUAAUUUCCGUUGAUUCUGAAGUUAGGGAAUAGUUAUUUCUGAAGAAAAUCAUUGUUUUCCUCCAGUGCAGGCCAAUUGGAAGUAUGUUACCAAAGUGGGCAGGUUAGAAUUUACACUGCUUUAAAAGCCUGCUCGUCAGUUCUUAACAUACAAUCUUGUAUUUGCAAGAUGGCAUAAUUUUUAUUAACUUAAUAGUUAAUAAACUGUUAACUAUAAACUAUUUGUCUG
rnacentral:lncRNA from 1 species